CACGUGUUGCCUCUAGUUUUCCUACCAAAAUCACGAAAACAGUAGGCAUAAUAUCACAUCCUGUGCCGAACAGUCUGCUCUCCAAUUUUCAAGGCUUCUUUGGAGCAUUUCCUUUCGAGGAUCAUUUCUGAAGAUUGAAGCAAAAAAGGAAUUCUGGUUGUAAGUAAGAACGUAGCACAAAGAGAAAAUUGGCAGACAAAGGCAAAGUCCACUCUAACAGACAGAAAGCAGGAUUAAAGGACUUGAAGUAAUUGAAGUCCUGAUAGCUGGUUGGCCAAUUUUGGUACAUGCGAAGUGAGACACUAUGGCUGUCAUGAUGAGCGACACUAUGUGCUACGUGGCAGAUGUAGGAGCAGGUCUUGGGCGCCACGUGGUAGACGUAAAUGCAAACAUUAUGUGUACUUUAAUCAGAGAAAUAGCAAACAUCGUGUGCACAAUGGUUAAAGAGUUAGCAGUAGGAGCCAUCGUGUGCACUUUGAUAAAGGAAAUAGGGAGUAGUACGCGCUGUUUGAUGGAAAAGAUUUCAGAGCUGUUUAAGAGUCGCCCAGAGGUUGUGAAAGAAUGCAUGAAAUUGCCUAUGUCGCAGAUGAUCUAUUAAGGCAAGCUUAGAGAAUGCAUUGAGUUGAUUUUCACAUGAGACAGUAACCACUGCACGCUUUUGAGAGUAGAUCGUCAGUUUCGUAUCAAUCACUUAUUUUCAAGCUUUCUUUUUUAGUCACAUUUAACCAUGCCAUGACUGAUUAGUUCUAGCUUGCUCUGAGAUUGUAACGUCUAAAAGCCAUCAUUUGCCUGUUGAAGACUGGGAUAAAUGUAAUUCACUAUUUAUAAAUAUUUAAGAAAUGGGAGUACUCUAUAUAAUCCAGAAAUCAAGCUUAUUACCGAAGUUAAAUGUAUGUAUCGGUCAUUAACCACAGCAGACUGAUUUAUUGAUAUUGGUGUACACACACCCCAAUGUAAUAUGACGUUUAUUUUAUGUGACAUGACGUUUAUUUGCUGAUUGAAAUAGUUAAACUCUCUACAGGAAUAUUUACUAUCAUUUUAAGAAACUAGACACUGUUUACAGCCCUUAAAUUUUUGAGACCUGAACUCACAAUUGCUGCAUUUUUUUUGUUAGUCUUGUUGAAGGGCCAGCUUUUUGUAGGGAUGCCUAUAUCUUUUAUCAUUAUAUGAUAAUGAAAGCCUAAUAAAUUGUAUUAAUAAUUUUGCCAUAAUUAAAGAUAUUUUUAAUUGAAAUUUGAAA